CGAACACAUUAUUCAUUAUCAAGACUCAAUAGAGUCGAACAACUUAAAUAAAACAUUGCGUUUUAAAAUGAUGAAACGGUUAUUUGUAGUACGGAGUACUUAAAAAUAUAAAGAGUUGAAACAAGGACUGGGGCCUUUCGCGCUGCUGGUAUAACGUGUGCUGCUGCCACCGCUACAGCUCGCUCUUCCUACUCAUCUUGAUUUCAGAGUGGGAGCAGCAUUUUAUCCAACACAUGGAGAGUUGAUCAUAGAUAUUUAUCGGCGAUGUGAUGGUUCAUGUACAACCUAAUUGUUCUUUUUGGUGCCCUCAGGUUUUCAGUAAAAGACAAGUGACCGCAAGGACACGAUUACCCUGUUCGAUUGAAGAGCAUCACGAGCGAAGAAUCAAGAAGCGCUGUAUACACCGAUUACAAAUUUUCAUGCUGACAGACGAUGUUUUAUCAAGGCAUCACGAAUAACUUCAGGUUAGUUAGUGUCGCUGCAUGUCCAUAGAGGCAUUCAGCAGCACACUUCCCUGCCAGCUUGAAGAGAAGGCUGCCGAACGACUUUGCAAUGUUGAUUACUUCGGUCUUGAGCACAAGGAGACAGGGCAUGACACAGGUGCACAACCAACCGUACAACAGUCUUGCUGGUGUAGCUACGGUCAACAUGUUUGAUGGAAUGUCCUACAGGCUGCAACUGGCGAUGGUGUGCUUGGCGCAACAGAAUGGUGUUAAUAUUACCACGAAAUAGGCGUUAUGUAAAUUGUUUUUCAGGUCUAUUUUUAAAAGGGAUCCUAUGUGCAGAAGGUGAGUUAUCAGAAACCAUGGUCAUACAGUAUUUGAGUUACAUGUGAGGUUUCUAAAUUUAACUUCUAGGCAUGGUAUUUGCACGCUAACAUUUACUCAAAAUGCAUGCUUUUGUUGUACCUUUCCUUCUUCUGUUCAGAUUUAUUUGAUGUCCCAAUGCUAUAUACUAUGUGCGGAUGCUCCUCUUUUGAUAAGCACGGCGUGUUCCCACAACUUAUUUACUUCCCCUUCUACACACACUAUUUUAGCUUCCAAUAUUGUUAGCAAAUAACUAUCACAAAUGCUCAUCCAGCAAUGUUUCUAGCUUCUUAAAUUACACAUUGCUCAGAGCGUUGGUUUCCCAUUCAUACAGAUUACUUUCAGUACAGUAUUAUUAAAAAAUGAUUAUCACGGAUAAGAUAAUGUUUACAUCUUUGCUCCUCCUAAAAUGUGGAUUAUUCUAGCUCCACAUACUAUCAGAAAAUGAUCAUCACACUUGCUGAUUUAGCGAUGCUUCCAUCUUUUCGAACCACAUGUUGUUCAGAUAUACAUGUAUUAAGAUGACCAAUAGUAAUUAAAAUCAUUCAGUUUUCUUUGUAUACAUUUCAGCACAUGAAUUCUGAGUAGGUAAUUAGGUGUAUUCUUCUACAUAGAUUUAGAUCUUGGAAAGCUGCUCAUGAAAGCAAAUGUUCAGAGUAAAUUUCGUUUGCAGGUUUACCAAGAAAAUACUACAGCGAUUAAUCAUAAGGCAUACUUUUGAUCCUAGAACAGGAAGUGUAUUUGCACAGUAUAUGAUAUAACUCACCAGUUUGUUAUAAUUGCCUCUAGAAGGACUAUUAGCUAAUCAGAAUUGUCCGUACUGUACUUAAAGUUCAGUGUUGUUGAUGCUAAAUGGACCAGACGAAGUAAUUGCAUAGCAUCCGUUUUAGGAUUUGGAACCUUAAAAAUCUAUUGAAGGAAUUUAUAUGGAAAGAAGAAAAGGUUUGUGCAUUUAGGGGUAUGUGUUUCUCCUCUUCUCUUCAAUUCAGUUUGUUGACCAUAUGAAUGAGGUCCACAUGAUACACAUUCGGGAUACUGAUGUGGUACACAUGAAGUAUUCUGAGAUUACGAAAGUGUGAUUUAAAAGGUGAGUUUUUUCACCGUUCUGCUUUGAUUGGUGGAUAUACUUCUACAAACAUAAGUUCAGAUUAAUUGUUUCAAUGCUAACUAUAGUAAUUUUGCUCCAGAAUGAUGUACAUAUUAGAGUUGAUCUACUUCUAAUUUCCUUGCAUUCAGUUCUUACAGUUUGCCUACUUUUUAAACAUGACUUCAAACCUAGAUUUGUAACAAUAAAUUAUUGUUUGUGUACCGACCAGGUAUGGACGAGUCAAGGAGGAAAGUGUCAGCGAGUCCAGGAAAUCUUUCUGACCAACAGUCUACUUUUUUUUAGCAUAGCAUAAGUGAGUAAUUCUGCAUAUUGAAAAAUGAGAUAGGGCCCUCACUCAUAUCCUUUAUGCUUACUUUUUAUUUAGAAUAUUUUCCACUGUAAAGAUUCUUCUCUCUACGGAUUCAAAAUUCUCCAGAUUUUGGGACUGUAAAAAUUCCCUAUGUUCAGAGGACAAUAGUAGGAAAAUAAUGUUGGGUCACAAAAUAUGCCAUGCAGUGCAAGUUAUGUGGUACAUAUGGCCCAUUAGUCAUAUGUUGGACUUUGUUCUGUCGGCUAUUUAGAUCAUCAAAACAUCCGACAUAUGUGCGUUCUCUAAUUUCUGUCUACAUUUUUUGUAUAAGCACAUUAUUAUAUACAUUAUGUGUAUGCUUUUCUGAGCUAAA